rnacentral:tRNA from 1 species
UAGGGAGACCUACCUUGGGGCAUCUGAGGGGAGUUAGACCACCCUCAGGCCAGCAAAGGUUAUCCCAGGUCGGUCGGGGUUGAAGGGAUGGUUGACUGGGGUUCUGGAGGGGAACCGAGGGGGGGGCUAUUAGCUCAGGUGGUUAGAGCGCACCCCUGAUAAGGGUGAGGUCCCUGGUUCGAGUCCAGGAUGGCCCACUGUUUGUCCUGGAGAAGGGAGAGCUAGCAAGCUAGAAGCGAGCUGGCCAAGCUGAGGGCAAAGCCAGAGGGUGGGUGCAGUCUGGAUUGGGGGUAUAGCUCAGCUGGUAGAGCGCUGCCUUUGCACGGCGGAAGUCAGCGGUUCGAGUCCGCUUACCUCCACCACUUUGGUGAGGAGCCGGGAAGGGGUUCUCCAGUUGGAUAGGUUGACGACCGGGCUAGGGGUUUGGGUCCGAGCACAAGCCUCCAGCCGGGUUGAGC